ensembl:lncRNA
GAAGAGAGGAAGAGUGGUACUGGAAAGAGAGGAAGAGUGGUACUGGAAAGAGAGGAAGAGUGGUACUGGGAAGAGUGGUACUGGAAAGAGAGGAAGAGUGGUACUGGAAAGAGAGGAAGAGUGGUACUGGAAAGAGAGGAAGAGUGGUACUGGAAAGAGAGGAAGAGUGGUACUGGAAAGAGAGGAAGAGUGGUACUGGGAAGAGAGGAAGAGUGGUACUGGAAAGAGAAGAAGAGUGGUACUGGAAAGAGAGGAAGAGUGGUACUGGGAAGAGUGGUACUGGUAAGAGAGGAAGAGUGGUACUGGGAAGAGUGGUACUGGUAAGAGAGGAAGAGUGGUCUGGGAAGAAGAGGAAGAGUGGUACUGGAAAGAGAGGAAGAGUGGUACUGGGAAGAGAAGAAGAGUGGUACUGGAAAGAGAGGAAGAGUGGUACUGGAAAGAGUGGUACUGGUAAGAGAGGAAGAGUGGUACUGGGAAGAGAAGAAGAGUGGUACUGGAAAGAGUGGUACUGGUAAGAGAGGAAGAGUGGUACUGGGAAGAGAGGAAGAGUGGUACUGGAAAGAGAAGAAGAGUGGUACUGGGAAGAGAGGAAGAGUGGUACUGGAAAGAGAAGAAGAGUGGUACUGGGAAGAGAAGAAGAGUGGUACUGGGAAGAGAAGAAGAGUGGUACUGGAAAGAGAAGAAGAGUGGUACUGGAAAGAGUGGUACUGGGAAGAGAAGAAGAGUGGUACUGGGAAGAGAGGAAGAGUGGUACUGGAAAGAGUGGUACUGGGAAGAGAAGAAGAGUGGUACUGGAAAGAGAAGAAGAGUGGUACUGGGAAGAGAAGAAGAGUGGUACUGGGAAGAGAAGAAGAGUGGUACUGGAAAGAGUGGUACUGGGAAGAGAAGAAGAGUGGUACUGGGAAGAGAGGAAGAGUGGUACUGGAAAGAGUGGUACUGGGAAGAGAAGAAGAGUGGUACUGGAAAGAGAAGAAGAGUG